rnacentral:rRNA from 1 species
AGUGAACGCUGGCGGUAGGCCUAACACAUGCAAGUCGAACGGCAGCACAGUAAGAGCUUGCUCUUACGGGUGGCGAGUGGCGGACGGGUGAGGAAUACAUCGGAAUCUACUUUUUCGUGGGGGAUAACGUAGGGAAACUUACGCUAAUACCGCAUACGACCUACGGGUGAAAGCAGGGGAUCUUCGGACCUUGCGCGAUUGAAUGAGCCGAUGUCGGAUUAGCUAGUUGGCGGGGUAAAGGCCCACCAAGGCGACGAUCCGUAGCUGGUCUGAGAGGAUGGUCGGCCGCACUGGAACUGAGACACGGUCCAGACUCCUACGGGAGGCAGCAGUCGGGAAUAUUGGACAAUGGGCGCAAGCCUUAUCCAGCCAUACCGCGUGGGUGAAGAAGGCCUUCGGGUUGUAAAGCCGUUUUGUUGGGAAAGAAAAGCAGCAGGUUAAUACCCCGCUGUUCUGACGGUACCCAAAGAAUAAGCACCGGCUAACUUCGUG